GCCUAAAGCGUCCGUAGCCGGCUUUGUAAGUUUUCGGUUAAAUCUAUAUGCUCAACAUAUAGGCUGCCGGGAAUACUGCAAAGCUAGGGAGUGGGAGAGGUAGACGGUACUCCGUAGGAAGGGGUAAAAUCCUUUGAUCUAUGGAUGACCACCUGUGGCGAAGGCGGUCUACCAGAACACGUUCGACGGUGAGGGAUGAAAGCUGGGGGAGCAAACCGGAUUAGAUACCCGGGUAGUCCCAGCUGUAAACUAUGCAAACUCAGUGAUGCAUUGGCUUGUGGCCAGUGCAGUGCCGCAGGGAAGCCGUUAAGUUUGCCGCCUGGGAAGUACGUACGCAAGUAUGAAACUUAAAGGAAUUGGCGGGGGAGCACCACAAGGGGUGAAGCCUGCGGUUCAAUUGGAGUCAACGCCAGAAAUCUUACCCGGAGAGACAGCAGGAUGAAGGUCAAGUUGAAGCCUUUACCAGACAAGCUGAGAAGUGGUGCAUGGCCGUCGCCAGCUCGUGCCGUGAGGUGUCCUGUUAAGUCAGGUAACGAGCGAGAUCCUUGCCUCUAGUUGCCACCAUUACUCUCAGGAGUAGUGGGGCGAAUUAGCGGGACCGCCGUAGUUAAUACGGAGGAAGGAAGGGGCCACGGCAGGUCAGUAUGCCCCGAA
rnacentral:rRNA from 1 species